AUGAAAUAUCUACAAGAAAACAACCAAGCUCCGACAGUACCAAGGAUCCCUUAUGUCAACUCUGAGUUACAAUUAUAUUCUCCUUUAUUGGAACUUUUUAAUGUUAUGCCAGUUUAGUGAUUUCUAAAGAGCCAAGACUGUUUCUUCCUAACACUCAGUGUCCACUCACCCCACCAAAGACCUCACAUGAUUUUAAAAGCUCUUUGGAUUACAUUUUAAGGAUGAUUGGUGGACACAGGCCACCGGUUACGUGAUGCAGUAGCAGGCGCCUUUCUCAGCUUCGGGAAGUUCAGAGCGCUACUUCAAAACAUCAAUUCCUGCUUUCGUAAUGCUGUAAAUUGUUUUUAAAAAUGACACAUUAUUGCAAGAUGCUUGGCUGUUUUUCAUUUAUGCUCUAAGGUUUCCCUGAUCGGAAGCCUGGCUUUCUAAUAUCAGCAGGAAAGAAACAUCCCACAGAUGACUUCUCGCUCCCAAUUACAUGAAGAUCUCAGCUUCAUCUACAUCUCUCUACAGUUUUAUAAUAUUCAUAUGUACUCCAGUUCAACCAGAUGUUUGCAGGAAUUAGAUAUUGAUAUAUGUACACCAAGCAGUAGUACUGGCGUAAUCGGGAGAGAGGAACAGAAAAAGCGACAGUAGCAGAUAAAGGCAAAUACAGAAAAGAAGGCAUGAAAAUCAGAAGAGGUAAGUGGAAGAGGUAAGUAGGUCAUUGGAUAUCCCACACUUGAAGUCAACUUAGAUCCUAUCAAUGACAAAAUCCUGAACUUUAAGUGUAUUAGCCUUGUUAUACCAUUUAGAAAGACCCCUCAGAUUUUGUUACAGCACAAUUUCCAAAAUACAACAAAUUUGCUUUAAGUCUGAAAUAAAAAACAUCUUCUGUUUUAUGCAAAAUCCUAGUAUUAUCCAGUUGUGAAAUGAAUGAUAUAAUAAUGGGCUAAAGUAAUAAACAUUCUAAUAGUCUAGAAAAGGGAUUUUAUCACAGGAUUAUUCUGACUACUGGUGGAAACCUGCCACAACCUGCUCCUCCACCACCAUGGGAGGGUGGAUUGGGGUUGGGCAGGCAGUUAUUUUGUGCAGAACGUGCAGAUUGUAAAUGGCAUUUUCAUAACAUGCCCUUAGCAAACAUCAUAUGAACAGGUUCUCAAGUACCCAGAUUAUGUAAAUGUUGGGGUGUGCAGUGUUUUGAGAUGAUCAGAAGUGUUUACAGGUUGUAAAACAUUCGUCCCAGGCCAUUAUUUUUGAACCAUCCUUUAUUACCUUUAAAGCCCUGCAUGGCAUGGAUCCAGAUUACUUGAGGAACCAUCUCAACCCACUGGGACUGACUCUUCCCACCUAUGCUGGCAAAGGAGGCAUGCUGUGGGCCCCUUCAGUCAAGGAAAUCUGGCUGGCAGGGUCCAGAAGGACCUUCUCUGCCAUGGCACCGGCUCUUUGAAAUAUAUCCUGUGGGAAAAUUUUGCUCCCACCCUGUCCUUCUGCAGGAGCCUGAAGACAUGGCUCUGCCAGGUGGCUUGGGGCUCUAACAGAGAGGUAUCACACUGGAGGUGGUUGAUGAAUAAAAAGGCAAUCCACCCUUCCAUCAGAACGGCCUUCCCUUCUCUCCCCAUUUUCUUCUAUAAUUCUAUUUUUCACUGUAAUUUCCAUUUUUAUUGUUUUAGAAAUAUUUCUUUUAUUAUUUUUAUGCUUCUAAUGCUGCAAGCCACCCAGAGCUGCUCCAAAACGAGAUGGAUGACAAAUAAAUGUAAUAAAUAAUAAAUUAUAUUAAAUUUUAAAAAGUCAAGGAUUAUCUGUACUAAGAUUCUGAAAAUACAGGCGUAUGAAGUAAGCCUAUCUGUGGAUAAGCUGAUCGUCAAAAUUUUUGAAUGUUUUAUUUUUCAUAAUUAUUUAUCCAUUGGUUUAUUUUUCAUUAGGAUUAAAGGUCAGCUUAUCUGCAUAUGGAUUUAUCCAUAUAUUUAUCCACUGGAUAUAUGGGCAUUUCAAAAACGUAUUACUGUGUAUAAUAACAGAUAAAUCUGUCAGUGGAUAAGCCAAAUCCAAUUUUGGGGAGGAAUUCUGACACUUAAAAUUUUUGACUUAUUUAUGGGUAUAUAUGGCAACGUCACUAUACAUAUAAAUACAGAUUACCAAAAACAGGAGAGCUAAGACAGGACAAUCAAAUAUAUUUAAUAACAGAUUAUCAUUUAAAUCUCCUAAGGGUCUAUGAAGUUACAAAUAAUCUUGACAAGAUAAAAAAAAGUCUGGCUAUUUUAUAAUCUAGGAACUCAGAACCAAAGAUAAAAGUGAGCUUUUGGGGACAAAAUUUGGAAGUCACUAUAGGAAAAAGUUAUUCUGCUGGUGAAUGUUGAAACAGACCAAUAGUACUGUAAGGUAUUGAACAUGCUACCUCACUACCCAUAUCUAGUAGGUCUGAGAUGAUUUUAAAGCUCACCACCCAAGCUAUCCAAUAGCUGUGAACAUUCUAUCCUGGAAAUUUUAACCAUCAAUUAUACAUAUAUUUUCCUUAAAAUUUACUGCAGAAAAACAGUUCUUAAGUUCUUCAAGCAAAAAGCUAGAGCAAGUUUUUAUACAAAGCUAUGAAGAAGUUUAAUUUUAAAU